GUUUUCAAAUGGGCGGAACCUUCCUUUAGUGAUAUUUUGACGUUAGCGUAAAUUCACCUUGAUGGCGGAGGAAGAAAUAGCUGUUGUUGGAGCUGGUGUAGAUGUAAACACACCUGGAAACGCAACAGAACUUGCUAUGGCGUAUUUACAGGAUGAGAAGACUGAUGCAGAUGUCACAAACCUGAACCUGGGGGAACUGGACCUCACCACUGAUGAGCUGAUCUUAGAUGAAGUUGACACUCACAUCCAGGCUAAUCUGGAAGAUGACCUGGUGAAGGAGGCGCUGAAAACAGGUGUUGAUCUCCGUCAGUACUCUAAACAGGUGGAGGCAGAGCUGCAGAGGAUAGAACAGGCCUCCAUCAAAGACUACAUCAAAGAGAGUCAGAACAUCGCACUUCUGCACAAUCAGAUCACCUCAUGUGACUCUAUACUCGAGCGUAUGGAGGAUAUGCUUAGCGGCUUCCAGAGCGACCUGUCAUCCAUCAGCAGUGAGAUUCAGACUCUGCAGCAGCAGUCAGUCAGCAUGAAUGUUCGACUAAAGAACAGGCAGGCGGUACGCAGCCAUCUCAGUCAGCUGGUGGACGAGCUGGUGGUGCCUGGUGUUAUGAUCUCCACCAUCCUGGACAGUCCAGUGACAGAGCAGGAGUUUCUGGAGCAGCUGCACGAACUCAACAACAAGAUUAACUUUGCUAAAGAGCUGAGUUUCAGAGAGACACUGGCCUGCUCUGACAUCCAGGACAUCGUUGACCGCCUCAAGCUCAAGGCUGUGUCAAAGAUCAGAGAGUUUAUUCUUCAGAAAAUUUACUCCUUCAGGAAGCCCAUGACCAACUACCAGAUACCACAGAACACUCUGCUGAAGUACAGAUUUUUCUAUCAGUUCCUUCUGGCCAAUGAGAGAACAGUUGCUAAGGAGAUCAGAGACGAGUACGUGGACACCAUGAGUAAGAUUUACUACAGUUACUUCAAGUCGUACAGUGGGAGGCUGCUGAAAGUGCAGUAUGAGGAGGUGGCAGACAAGGAUGACCUGAUGGGCGUAGAAGACACAGCAAAGAAAGGCUUUUUUUCUAAACCAUCUUUAAAGAGCAGGAACACUAUCUUCACCCUGGGACAGAGAGGGUCCAUACUGAGUCCUGCUGAGCUGGAGGGGCCCAUCCUGGUGCCCCACACGGCUCAAAGAGGGGACAGCAGGUAUCCCUACGAGACGCUGUUUCGCAGCCAGCACUACGCUUUGCUGGACAACGGUUGCAGAGAACAUCUCUUCCUGUCUGACUUCUUCAUGGUGGCAGGAAACUCUGCUCUGGACCUCUUCAACAGCAUCAUGGGGAAAACGCUCAGCAUGUUUCUGAAGAGCAUGUCCACGUACGUGUCCGACUGCUACGACAGCAUCGCCGUUUUCCUGUGUAUUCACAUUAUUCUCAGGUUCCGAGCCAUCACAGCCAAGAGGAACAUCCCUGCUCUGGACAAGUACUGGGAGGCUGUGCUGGAGCUGCUGUGGCCGAGGUUUGAGCUGAUUUUGGAGAUGAACAUCCACAGCAUCAGAAACACAGACCCUCAGAAACUGGGAGUGCUGGACACCAGACCACACUAUAUCACUCGACGUUAUGCAGAGUUCUCGUCGGCCAUCGUCAGCAUCAACCAGACGUUUCCCAAUGAGAGGACCAAUGCUUUGCUGGGGCAGCUGCAGGUGGAGGUGGAAAAUUUUGUGCUGAAGAUGGCUGCAGAGUUUCCCUCCAGGAGAGACCAGCUCAUCUUCCUCAUCAACAACUACGACAUGAUGCUCAGUGUCCUCAUGGAGAGGGCAGCAGACGACAGUAAGGAGGUUGAAGGUUUCCAGCAGCUGCUUUUGGCCAGAACACAGGAGUUUAUUGAGGAGAUUCUGUCUCCUCCCUUUGGAGGCAUGAUCGCCUUUGUGAAGGAGGCUGAGGCUCUGAUGGAGAAAGGGCAACUGGACCGACUGAAGAACGAGGAAGCUCGUAUCACUCAGCUCAUUCGAGGCUUCUCCAGCACAUGGAAACAGUCGGUGGAGUCGAUGAGUCAGGACGUCAUGAGGUCCUUCACUAACUUCAAGAACGGAACCAGCAUCAUCCAGGGCGCUCUGACCCAGCUCAUCCAGUACUACCACGGCUUCCACAAGGUCCUGAACCAGCCGACGUUCCGCAGCCUGGCCGUCCGCUCCGAGCUCAUCAACCUGCACCACCUCAUGGUCGAGGUCAAGAAGCACAAACCUAACUUCUAACAGGACCGACAGAACUCUCAGAACAUUUGGUUCAUCGACAUCUGGAACCCGGAUGUGAUUCCUCCUCGCCUAACAACUGAAGAACAAGAGUGACUCUGUCACAGGUGUCCCCGUGCACCACCUGUGCGCAGCCCUGCCUGUUCUCCUCUCGGUCCCGGUGGGCCAGAAUGCGACGAUCUCCUGCAACCUGACGUCCAGGUCUGAGGUCACCUGGUACCUGCUGCGUGCGGACCAGCUGCUCCCUCUGCUGACGCAUAGACGCAGUCACAUGAACACCCACACCGUCGAUGGCCCCGCUGCCCCCAUGAGCCGCUUCAGCGUCCAGGGCGACUUGGACAGUGGCCCCGUCAGGCUGCACGUCCUGAACGUGGAGCAGGACGACGCCGGGCUGUAUUUCUGCACCGGGCGCUGCUCAGGCGCCGUUUGUGUCAGCAGAGGAAUUCACCUACGCGUGACCGGAGCGGACCGGGAGUCUGCCGGCGGCACACCGAGGCGGCCAUGCUGGAGCCCGUGGAUCUGCGUCCUCCCCGCGUUCGUCAGCCUCUCUUUCUUCUUCCUUGCUGGGUUCUACCUGUGCACAGGUGCGUCAUGCGUCGACGAGUCAGGUAAACAGGUCGUUUGCUGCUGUACGUCAGAGAGAAGAGAAUCUGCCUCGAGGGAGACGGAGGACGUCUCUCUGCACUACUCCAGUUUGAAGCACGCCGAUAAGCCCCGCCCCUCCAUCCUACGACGCCAAGACCACGUCACGUACUCAGCGGUGACCACUCGCAAGAAGCCCAAUGGAUCAGCUGACUCCUCAGUGGAAGUUACUCCAGCUUCUAUCUCAUCUCAUGAUUGAAUUAUGACUUGAUUCCAGCCAACUUCUCUAAUUCACCCCAGUUUUUCAUCAUCAGUGAUUAGUCAUUAGUGAUGAUUCACCAGUCACUAGUUAAUGAGGCACUAAACCUAAUGAGCUGAAGACCACACGUGUCUCCACCUGUUUGAAUUUGUAGUAAACAUCUGGUUAGUUUCAUCUGUUUGCUGAUGCUCAUAAACCAACAACCUUCUGCCUCCACCAAUAAGACAACUUUAUCAUAAAGUUCACUGUUGUUUGGUUCGUAGGAUCCAGUAUGAAGCCAUGUUUUUGUUUACUCUGUAUUUCAGAUCGAUUCCGCAAAGGUCUGGUCAGCUCAGUUUUAGUGCAGAUGCUUCAUGUGCUCGUGUGUAAAGAUCUGUAGGAAUGAAGCUCUUUCACUUCGA